AGGAGAGGGUUAAAUGUCUGCCUGGUAACAGGAGGAAAGUCCGGACACCAUAGGACAGGAUACUUUCUAACGGAAAGCUUCGGUAACGGAGAGAAAGCUCCACAGAAACAAACCGUCGAAUCAGCUCAGGCGUUUCGGUAAGGGUGAAAUGGUGGUGUAAGAGACCACCGGCUAUUCUGGUGACAGGAUAGGACGGGAAAGCCUUAUCCGGUGCAAUGCCAAAUAGGGGAGAAAUCCGUUUUACGGGUACGGGGCGGUCCGUUCCGUCAUACUCUCGGGUAGGCAGCUACAGUCGUUCCCUGAAAAGGAGUUCUUACGAACGCAGCAAUGCACGAAGUAGAUGAAUAGACAUUACCAAUGCUCUUAGCAUUGGAACAGAAUCCGGCUUAAAACCUUCUCCUGAAU
rnacentral:RNase_P_RNA from 1 species